rnacentral:sRNA from 1 species
ACCCGGCGGAGGCGGCGGACGAGCGCUUCCCGGCCUGCAUCCGGGACGCCGUGUCGCAGGUGCUCAAGGGCUACGACUGGAGUCUGGUGCCCAUGCCGGUGCGCGGCGGCGGCGGCGGCGCUCUCAAAGCCAAGCCGCACGUGAAGCGGCCCAUGAACGCAUUCAUGGUGUGGGCGCAGGCGGCGCGCCGCAAGCUGGCCGACCAGUACCCGCACCUGCACAACGCCGAGCUCAGCAAGACGCUGGGCAAGCUGUGGCGGUGAGUGCCGGCGCCCCGGGGGCGGGGUUCGGGACCUUGGCCGCCCCUGGUCUCGGACUGCGAGCGGGGGCCUGGAGGGCGCAGAGCUCGCGGAGGUGGUGGCCACACGCAGGCUCCGGGCUCUGCACCCCGGGCGGGUGUCAGGGCGGGUCCCAGUGGAAAAACAUCCUCUGGCCAGCCGGGGUCCGGCGCCAGCUAUGGGAGUCGGGAUCCGCGGAGGGCAGCGCCUGGGGUGUGCACCAUCGUGGCGGGUGUACUCUGGAGCCAGUUCUCCUGGCGGGGAACACCCUGCGGAGGGCCAUGGCUGGCACCCCGACGUGCCCUCCAGCCGCUGCGAGUGGCCCCAGCCCCGGGAGGCAUGCCCGGCACGACAGCAAGUUGCAUGCGGCUCUCUGGAGGUGCCCCCUCCUUAGAAAGGGCUCAGCUCCUCCGGCUCCUGGACCACCCAUGGGGAGGGAGUGCGGCAGGCGGAUGGGUGGGCAGCAGGUUUGCCUGCGAGUACCCUCCCCGCAGUUUCUCCCUCUCCUGGACACCCUCGGUCCGAAGCAGGGAGGGCAGGAGUGGAGAUGACGGGGUGCGCCGUGUGCACGCCUUGGCGUGGUGGGGCCGGUCAGUUUUCCAGAAAUUAGGACUGCAGAGUGAAGAACUUGUUGCUCAGGACAGGCUGCCCCCACCGAGUGUCCUCUGCUUGGGUUUAAAAUGGUUCUCUUGGUUUGGGGCUCUGGUUCCCGUAUCCUGCUCCUCACCUGGAAGAAGGGAGCUUGGAGCUUGCGUAUUUGCACCUCCUGCCUUCUGUCUGGAUCUAGGGCGCAGCCACGGGGCGCUGUGGAAGGCAGGCCUCUGCUCCCCCAAGUCCUGCCGCACAGGCGGUUGGAGGUGAGCCUCGGGAAGAGUCCCAGGGAGUGUGUCCUGUGGCUCAGUGAGGACGGGCGCCUGGGCCCUGCCAGGGCUUCUGGGUGUCUGGGAAUGGAGGGACAGCAGCCCAGCUGCCCGCCGAAGGCCGGCACCGUUCCCGGGAAGCCUCGCUUUUGUCCACCGCCGGCUGGGUCCUGCCCGCCUCCCCCGCCUCCCUUAGAAAGCCCCAGAGGGAGGGAACAGCAGGCCCGGAAUGGGGGGAAAUAGAAGGAGGAAGAUGGGAGGCGUGGGGCUUGUUCUUCUUUGGCUGUCGUAAGCAUACCAACCUUCCCAAACAGGCGCCGGCCGGUUCUCCCAGAGGAGUGUACUGCCUGGUGCCACGGGAGGCUCCGGAGCGCACGGCAGGCGGGUUUCCCUGGUCAGAGCCUCCCGGCCCCGGCCUCUGCUGCCGGUUCCCCCUGUGGUGUGUGCCUGCGCCGAGGUCACAGUGGGCGCCCUGGCCAUCCCUGCCUCUGCCCUGUGCUGCAGCUUGCUGAGCGAGAGCGAGAAGCGGCCCUUCGUGGAGGAGGCAGAGCGCCUUCGCGUGCAGCACAAGAAGGACCACCCCGACUACAAGUACCAGCCACGGCGCAGGAAGAGCGCCAAAGCCGGCCACAGCGACUCCGACUCGGGCGCGGAGCUGGGACCCCACCCUGGCGGCGGUGCCGUGUACAAGGCUGAAGCAGGGCUUGGAGAUGGGCACCACCAUGGCGACCACACAGGGCAGACCCACGGGCCGCCCACCCCGCCCACCACCCCCAAGACGGAGCUGCAGCAGGCGGGCGCCAAGCCGGAGCUGAAGCUGGAGGGACGCCGGCCGGCGGACAGCGGGCGCCAGAACAUCGACUUCAGCAACGUGGACAUCUCGGAGCUCAGCAGCGAGGUCAUGGGCACCAUGGACGCCUUCGACGUCCACGAGUUCGACCAGUACCUGCCCCUGGGCGGCCCCGCCCCACCCGAGCCUGGCCAGGCCUACGGGGGCGCCUACUUCCACGCCGGGGCGUCCCCCGUGUGGGCCCACAAGAGUGCCCCGUCGGCCUCCGCGUCGCCCACCGAGACGGGUCCCCCACGGCCGCACAUCAAGACGGAGCAGCCAAGCCCUGGCCACUACGGCGACCAGCCCCGAGGCUCGCCCGACUACGGUUCCUGCAGCGGCCAGUCCAGCGCCACCCCGGCCGCCCCCGCCGGCCCCUUCGCCGGCGCACAGGGCGACUACGGCGACCUGCAGGCCUCCAGCUACUAUGGCGCCUACCCCGGCUACGCACCCGGCCUCUACCAGUACCCCUGCUUCCACUCGCCGCGCCGGCCCUACGCCUCGCCCCUGCUCAACGGCCUGGCCCUGCCGCCCGCCCACAGCCCCACCAGUCACUGGGACCAGCCAGUGUACACCACCCUGACCAGGCCCUGAGGGCCCAGCCGCGGGGAGGGACUCGCAGGCGUCAGGGGGCAGCCUUGUCCCGGCCCAGUGUGCGUGGCCAGGGCGGGAGGGGCCCCAGUGGCUGAGCUCCAAGUGCCUGCUGAAGUCUGCAGGGAAACAUGCUUGCUGCCCGUGGCCCUCGGCCUCCAGAUGGCCACACCUCUGCCGCCGAUGGACCAGCUCCCUCUCCCUUCUAUCUUUCUUUUUGAGGUGGUGGGAUUAUUCCACAAAGAAGGGCUGCCGUUUGGUCCCUCUUCUGUGAGGACUGGCGGCACCAGCACCUUCGCUUUGCAUCUCGGUAGAGGAGAAACGGCAGCACAGUCCAAGGACCAAAGGAGGGGGUGGCAGGGGCCUUGCAGGGCGCUGUGAGGUCCAGGCCGGCCUUGGCGCUGAGAGCCCCUGCACUCACGGCCACAUUCCCUCGACAACGGCUGCACGGGCUGUCCGGGAUCCGGGGUGUCUGUCCGCAGACCCUCUGGGAUGAGUCUGCUUGAGCAUCUCCAGGACCUGCUUGUCAGAUCUGAGGUGUCUCCUUGCUGGCAGAGUGCGCUCACGCGAGGGCUGGCUGUGAUGAACGCAUCUCUCUUUUAUUUUUAUGUUUUGGAUAAUUUUUAUUUUUGAAGCUUAAAUGUGUUUCUUCUGAAAGCUGUUAAAGAUGUAUUUAUGUUCUGUUAUUUUAUCUUUAAUUAAUGAGGUAAUUCGGGCAAAGAGUAGAAUUUAAGACAAAACGGAAGCUGGGAAGCUUCCCUUGAAGGCAGGCAGGAGGUGGGGUUGCAGCUGUUGGCCGGCAUCACGUUGCUCGGCUUAUGGGAGGCCGCCCUGGAGGGCCCGGAGGUCCCAAGGUCCCUGGGAGGACUGGGCCCCUCAUGCCUUGAGCUUGGCAACCGAAAACCCGAGGGAGGAGAAGGGACCUGCCUUGUGACAUCUCUGAUCAGGUUGGGGUGCCCCAGCACCCAGUACCAGUUUGGGGUUUGGGAAGCAGGACUCCGUCCCUGUCCCCGACUGUGCCACGUGGUAGGACACAUAGGACACAGGAAUUCCUGGGUCCUUGCCCAUGACUGUGCCAUGUGGUAGGACACAGGACACAGGAAUUCCUGGGAAGUGGUGGCUUCAGAAGUGAUCUUGGCUCGCAGGCACCAGUGCCACCUACCAAGCUGUGAAACUAAACCUUCUCCACUAAACGUCGUUAGGGCCUCAGUUCUAGACGAGUCAUACCUGAUUCACCUGCACUGCUUCCCCCUGUGUGCUGAGCAUAGAGCAUACGUUAGCGCCUACUUCACGGAAACUUGUGCCUUUAAACUUUGUAAAUUUAAACACAGCCGAGAAGUUGCUUCUUUGUACUUUUUCUACUUUUCCUACUUUUUUGUAGAAAAAAAAGAUAAUGCCUCUGCUUCUAUUUCUCUGGGGGUGGGGGUGGGGGCCGGGAGCCGCCGCAGACCCGUUUCAUGCAGCGUCUCCCUCGGCACCGCGUUCGGAGGACGCACCCUCACUCGCCUGCUGCCUUCACUCCUUUCUGACCAAGCAACGCUAACUUUUGUACAGAUCGAUUUGAUAAAAUUAAACAAAGUGCUUUUUAUGG